AAGUCGAGGAUAAUAAAAAUGACCGAAAGAACUAAGAGCUAUUACGCAAAGUCGGGAAUUAUAAAGACGGACCGAAAGAACUUAAGAGCUAAUACACAAAGUCGGGGAUCAUAAAAACGGACCGAAAUAACUUAGAGCUAAUAUGCAAAGUUAGGGAUCAUAAAAACAGACAGAAAGAACUUAGAGCUAAUACGCAAAGUCGGGGAUCAUAAAAACGG
rnacentral:lncRNA from 1 species